CGCAAUUAACCCAGAUAAGCUUCUCAUCGUCUUCUUUCGGAAACUCGAAUCUGAUCGGUGUCACCUCUCAUUGUAUGUGAUCAUUGUAUGUGUAUAGGGAUCUUGAUAUAUUGAUGGAAGUAUCACCCAUCGUUGUAUUCACACCAUAGUACGUUUCGAAGUAAAUAAUCCAAUAUCUGAGUAUAACGUAACCCUGUACACUACAAUAUCAUUGAUCGAUUCAAUGAGUUUGAUGGAGAGAGGAGCUACAAUGAUAACUUCAAUGAGGGUGAUCGAUCAGAAUACGAGUACCUGGUUCACGGUUUCUUAGGUCAGUAGGUCACUCGCUCUACAUACGACCCUCUCCCUCCUCGACACUGCACUAGAAGGGACCGCACCGUUGUGGGUGAAACGGACAGCUGGAGGGGAGCUUCCAACCAGAACCACAGCAGCCACGAAGAGGGUCGAAGGACGGAGACGAAGGGGAAUCAGCCGCCACGGGGGUAGAGACCACGAAGAGGGCCCGGUCCAACCAGAAUAACAGCAGCCACGAAGAGGAUCGAAGGACGGAGGAGACGAAGGGGAAACAGCUCUCACGGGGGUAGAGACCACGAAGAGGGCCGGUCGUUGCCCCUCACGUUGGUAACAUUCCUCGUUUUAAAAAGUGAACUCCCUCGUAAUAUAAGACGAACUUUGAUACACUGUCUGCAUGCGAAACCACUACAGAGGGACCGUACCUACCACAACUGACACCGCUGUAGAAGCUGUACCGAUCUAUCUACCGAUGGGUAC
rnacentral:rRNA from 1 species